rnacentral:rRNA from 1 species
UACAGAGGGGGCAAGCGUUGUUCGGAAUUACUGGGCGGAAAGGGCGCGUAGGCGGCCCGCUAAGUCGAACGUGAAAUCCCCGGGCUCAACCCGGGAACUGCGUCCGAUACUGGCAGGCUUGAAUCCGGGAGAGGGAUGCGGAAUUCCAGGUGUAGCGGUGAAAUGCGUAGAUAUCUGGAGGAACACCGGUGGCGAAGGCGGCAUCCUGGACCGGUAUUGACGCUGAGGCGCGAAAGCCAGGGGAGCAAACGGG